UGGGGAAUUUUGGACAAUGGGCGAAAGCCUGAUCCAGCAAUGCCGCGUGUGUGAAGAAGGCCUUCGGGUUGUAAAGCACUUUUGUCCGGAAAGAAAUCCUUGGCUCUAAUACAGUCGGGGGAUGACGGUACCGGAAGAAUAGGCACCGGCUAACUACGUGCCAGCAGCCGCGGUAAUACGUAGGGUGCAAGCGUUAAUCGGAAUUACUGGGCGUAAAGCGUGCGCAGGCGGUUUGCUAAGACCGAUGUGAAAUCCCCGGGCUCAACCUGGGAACUGCAUUGGUGACUGGCAGGCUAGAGUAUGGCAGAGGGGGGUAGAAUUCCACGUGUAGCAGUGAAAUGCGUAGAGAUGUGGAGGAAUACCGAUGGCGAAGGCAGCCCCCUGGGCCAAUACUGACGCUCAUGCACGAAAGCGUGGGGAGCAAACAGGAUUAGAUACCCUGGUAGUCCACGCCCUAAACGAUGUCAACUAGUUGUUGGGGAUUCAUUUCCUUAGUAACGUAGCUAACGCGUGAAGUUGACCGCCUGGGGGAGUACGGUCGCAAGAUUAAAACUCAAAUGAAUUGACGGGGUCAUAGCUGUUUCCU
rnacentral:rRNA from 1 species